CAGCGAUCCCACGUUAACAUUGGGAUGGAUUGUGAAUUCAGAGCUGAAUAAGGAUUCCAAAGAGGGGACACCGGCAUGGGGGCCGUUAAGUGCUGGGAGAGUUCGGAUACGAUGUUCCCUCGCAAAGCCCGUGUGACGGAGGAACUCUGAAAGGAAGGACUCAAGGUUCCAAGGGGCACGAUGGUGAAGCCGAUGUCAACAACGCAGCCAAACGUGGCUACACAGGACUCUAAGUAGAAAGGGAGGUUGCCCCCAAGAGUCUCUCAAGGGACCUAUCGGGCCGGGGAGAAGGUCCCAAGCCACGCCCACCUUGGAUGGGAAAAGCAACCUGGCUGGUGGUGACAGAACUCUUUGGAAUCCAACCCAGUCUCUGAGGACCGUGGGACACCCCCUCCCCCCGUCCCCACCCCCACCCCGAUACCCAAGAGAUCCAGGGCUAGACUUACCCUGGGAUCUUCUUCAUCGGGCGGGGGAGCCCUUGGCCCAACUGGGGCCCUCCGCUGCUUCUGGAGGGUCUGGGCUCUCACCAGUCUCUUGGCCCAAGAUGUGGGGUCCCGACGUGCCAUCAUCUUCGUCUCCUGGGGGUUUUAUGACCGCCUUUUUCAGGGGUGGACUGUUGGGCCACCUGAAACACACACAAACACACACAUGUCGAUGGUUAAGCACGUUGGAUAUUCACACACCCACAGGAAGCCACCUGCUAACUCCCUGCCUGUGUGGUCAUGAGGAGACCUCACCACCAGUCGGUCAAAUCUGUAGAACACAAUGUGCUGUGCGCAUCCUCGGAUAUUGUGUGUUCCUCUGCCAUGACUACCUAGUCCAAGAGUAAACCCCACCUGCCACAGGGCCCGUGGCCUAGGUAUGGGGGGUUGAGCUUUCAACCCCAAACAAACAACUGAUUCUGGAGACUGGACUUAGGUCUCUCACGAUUCACUCCGGUAGAAGACACGGUGAUUCUAUCUCCCUUGACGGACAGAAUGAUCGAAGACACAGGGCAUGGCGUGUGCCACCCUUUGGCAGGUCUGCUUGAAGUCAGGGAUAAGGGAUGCUUCCUGUGACAACUUGAAUCGCUACUCUUGCCAUUUCAUUAGGCAACUUCCAAACACAAAUUCAUACAGAGAAGUUACCUUCCUCUCUACCGCACUAGCAGGCUGGCGCUGAGAUGGGCAGGUGCUGCAGCAGCCCGGCUGGAAGCGAUGCAGCAUCCAGGACGACGGAGGAAGGGGCGGAGAGGGACCUCUGCUUUCCAGGCUGCCUUUUAUACUGCCUCUGGUCACCUGACAUGGAACGUACCCUAACCUAAUCAGUUACCUGUACCUUAAUUGCAAUUAACUUAAUCCAAUUACAUGACCUGGAAAGGUCUAUCUGCACAGCCCACUCUAAGAUCCUGUCCACUGCUGACAGACAUUCUAAAACCUACUUGUACAGCUGCAAGCUUUGAACAAUAGAUGUUCCCCGUCAGACAUGUAACACUGGUGCCUGUAUCCCUGUCUUCUUUUCCAUCUUUUUUGUUGUUUUGUUUUGUUUCGUUUUAAAAAAUGUGGUAAAAUAGACACCUUUUAAUUGGACCACAUUUUGUCUCUCUCGACGUAGGCCUCAGUGUCAUCAAGGAGACUCUCCUUGACAUGCAGUCACGGCCAUGAUCCAUCUUCAGAGCUUCUCUUUCUUCCCCAAGGCUGGCGCUGAGAUGGGCAGGUGCUGCAGCAGCCCCGCUGGAAGCGAUGCAGCAUCCAGAACGACGGAGGAAGGGGCGGAGAGGGACCUCUGCUUUCCAGGCUGCCUUUUAUACUGCCUCUGGUCACCUGACAUGGAACGUACCCUAACCUAAUCAGUUACCUGUACCUUAAUUGCAAUUAACUUAAUCCAGUUACAUGACCUGGAAAGGUCUAUCUGCACAGCCCACUCUAAGAUCCUGUCCACUGCUGACAGACAUUCUAAAACCUACUUGUACAGCUGCAAGCUUUGAACAAUAGAUGUUCCCCGUCAGACAUGUAACACUGGUGCCUGUAUCCCUGUCUUCUUUUCCAUCUUUUUUGUUGUUUUGUUUUGUUUCGUUUUAAAAAAUGUGGUAAAAUAGACACCUUUUAAUUGGACCACAUUUUGUCUCUCUCGACGUAGGCCUCAGUGUCAUCAAGGAGACUCUCCUUGACAUGCAGUCACGGCCAUGAUCCAUCUUCAGAGCUUCUCUUUCUUCCCCAAGGCUGGCGCUGAGAUGGGCAGGUGCUGCAGCAGCCCCGCUGGAAGCGAUGCAGCAUCCAGAACGACGGAGGAAGGGGCGGAGAGGGACCUCCGCUUUCCAGGCUGCCUUUUAUACUGCCUCUGGUCACCUGACAUGGAACGUACCCUAACCUAAUCAGUUACCUGUACCUUAAUUGCAAUUAACUUAAUCCAAUUACAUGACCUGGAAAGGUCUAUCUGCACAGCCCACUCUAAGAUCCUGUCCACUGCUGACAGACAUUCUAAAACCUACUUGUACAGCUGCAAGCUUUGAACAAUAGAUGUUCCCCGUCAGACAUGUAACACUGGUGCCUGUACCCCUGUCUUCCUUUCCAUCUUUUUUGUUGUUUUGUUUUGUUUCGUUUUAAAAAAUGUGGUAAAAUAGACACCUUUUAAUUGGACCACAUUUUGUCUCUCUCGACGUAGGCCUCAGUGUCAUCAAGGAGACUCUCCUUGACAUGCAGUCACGGCCAUGAUCCAUCUUCAGAGCUUCUCUUUCUUCCCCAAGGCUGGCGCUGAGAUGGGCAGGUGCUGCAGCAGCCCCGCUGGAAGCGAUGCAGCAUCCAGAACGACGGAGGAAGGGGCGGAGAGGGACCUCUGCUUUCCAGGCUGCCUUUUAUACUGCCUCUGGUCACCUGACAUGGAACGUACCCUAACCUAAUCAGUUACCUGUACCUUAAUUGCAAUUAACUUAAUCCAGUUACAUGACCUGGAAAGGUCUAUCUGCACAGCCCACUCUAAGAUCCUGUCCACUGCUGACAGACAUUCUAAAACCUACUUGUACAGCUGCAAGCUUUGAACAAUAGAUGUUCCCCGUCAGACAUGUAACACUGGUGCCUGUAUCCCUGUCUUCUUUUCCAUCUUUUUUGUUGUUUUGUUUUGUUUCGUUUUAAAAAAUGUGGUAAAAUAGACACCUUUUAAUUGGACCACAUUUUGUCUCUCUCGACGUAGGCCUCAGUGUCAUCAAGGAGACUCUCCUUGACAUGCAGUCACGGCCAUGAUCCAUCUUCAGAGCUUCUCUUUCUUCCCCAAGGUAAGUCUGUCAGCAGAGAACCCUGACCGCACCCUCAUGUGUUUUCUCCCCCAGGAGGCGCUUGGAAACCACCGUGAAUUGGACCGCACUGGGAAACACAGAUGAGGAAAGUCAACAACGCUUUGUCCUUCAGUGCCUGGCUCCUUUUUCAGCUCGUCUUGCGACUCCCGGACGCCUGUGAGGCUCUAAUUCCCUGGGUCCCAUUGCCAUGUCUCUGGAUUUGCGAAGAUCCACCGCACCUUCUGUGGAACUCCCGUGUCGGUGAACUUUUGUGCCACGGCCCCUAAUUCUGCCCAUGGUCAUCCGCACCUGCACGACUUAGGGUCCAUGUUCCUUGGACGGGAAGAGACAGGCAGGAGUCGGAAUGAUGAACCAGCACACUGGGGCGUUUUCUCAUGUAGCCCAAGUGACCCCAUGGUCUUCUCGAGCUUUGGAACCAGUCGCGUCCCCUUUGACACUGCACCCGGCUCCCAGUCUCUCAAUCUUGUUGGCCCUCCGGCGAUCUCCCGUUGGAUGAAUUGCUCCUGCUGAAACUCCAGUCCCCUUUGAUUUACGCUUCAUUAAUUAUUCAUGAUUCAGGUUGGAAGGCCUGCUGACGACCCCCUGUGGCCGUUCUCUGAGCUUUCCUGUCACAUCGUUUCCUUCCACGCUCUUUGGUUCCUUAUGGUCCUGCUCCCUCUGCUGUCAGAGGAGCAGAGAGUUGAUCUUAUUCAUUCUGGAUACGGAUACUUUCUAGGUGAUCUGGAUAAUCAAGAUAACGACCCUCAACAGCGGCGGAGAGGGAGCAGCCAGUUGGUGUGUCUCAGAAAAUCCCACUGAGUUCCGAGGCCUCCUAGAUGUGGAAUCCUGCUGAGAGUUGUUCCCAGGUCAGAGAAUGGAGAGAGCCUGUGCAUGAUGGGAUAUCCCCGCCUAGAUCUUUCAGUGAGUCUCUACCUCAGCUACUCUUAGGAUCAGGGGGAGAACCAUGGUGUCAGACAUCCGGAAAGAAGACGGGAUGAAUGUUUUACCUCUGAAGUACAUCCCAAAUGUGGGAGUUAACUUCAGCUUUGCUGGGGUCUAUUUGGCCAGUGAAACUCUGCCUGGUUCCUUCGCACAUCCGGAAGCCACUUCACGGGGGGCCGUCGCAACUGGAACCACACACUUGGCAUCGGCGGUUGAGCCAAAUGGGGACUCGUGGUGCAAGCAACGCUCCCCACGUGUUAGCGUGCGUGAGAUGCGGUUGGCGGAAUUUUACUAGGUGCGUGUUGGUAGAGUGGGGCUGAGGUUUUCUUGCUCCUGUGGAUGUAUAGCAAGUCAAAGGUCCUGCCCAGCCCUGCGGUCCCCUCAGUCAACUCUGUUUCGGAGACGUAACGAUUUGGAUUGCCAACAAGUCAAGAAAUGUUCAAGCCCUUGGAUGUAGGGUAAAGAAAGAGAGAUCAGACUGUCACUGUGUCUAUGUAGAAGGGGAAGACAUAAGAGACUCCAUUUUGAAAAAGACCUGUAGUUUAAACAAUUGCUUUGCUGAGAUGUUGAUCAUUUGUAGCUUUGCCGCAGCCCCUUCCUUUGACCCAACUUGGAGCUCACAAAAACCUGUGUUGUAUAAAAUCGAGGUUUAAGGGAUCUAGGGCUGUGCAGGACGCGCCUUGUUAACCAAAUGUUUACGAGCAGUAUACUUGGUAGGAGUCAUUGCCAUUCCCUAGUCUCAAUAAACCAGGGGCGCAAUGCACCGUGGAAAGCCACAGGGACCUCUGCCCUUGAAAGCAGGUUAUUGUCCAAGGUUUCUCCCCAUGUGACAGUCUGAAAUAUGGCCUCGUGGGAUGGGAAAGACCUGACUGUCCCCCAGCCUGACACCCGCAAUGGGUCUGUGCUGAGGUGGAUUAGUCAAAGAGGAAAGCCUCUUGCAGUUCAGAUGGAGGAAGGCCACUGUCUCCUGCUUGCCCCUGGGAACUGAAUGUCUCGGUGUAAAGCCCGAUCGUACAUUUGUUCAACUCUGAGCUCGGAGAAAAGCUGCCCUGUGGCGGGAGGCGAGACAUGUUGGCAGUAAUGCUGCCUUGUUAUUCUUUACUCCGCUGAGAUAUUUGUGUGGAGAGAAACAUAAAUCUGGCCUACGUGCACGUCCAGGCAUAGUACCUUCCCUUGAACUUAAUAAUGAUAUGGAUUCUUUUGCUCACGUGUUUGUUUUUGUUGUUGCUGUUGAACUUCCCCUUAUUAUCACCCUGCUCCCCUACUGCAUUCCUUUGUGCUGUAAUAAUGAUAAUCAUAAUCAAUAAAAACUGAGGGAACUCAGAGGCCGGUGCCGGUGCAGGUCCUAGGUGUGCUGAGUGCCGGUCCCCUGGACCCACUGUUGUCUCCCUA
rnacentral:lncRNA from 1 species